UACGGAGGAUACAAGCGUUAUCCGGAUUUAUUGGGUUUAAAGGGUGCGCAGGUUGUUUGAUAAGUCAGUGGUGAAAGUCUGUCGCUUAACGGUAGGAUUGCCAUUGAUACUGUUGGACUUGAAUAUGGAUGAGGUAGGCGGAAUGUGUAGUGUAGCGGUGAAAUGCAUAGAUAUCACACAGAACACCGAUUGCGAAGGCAGCUUACUAAUCCAUCAUUGACGCUGAGGCACGAAAGCGUGGGGAUCAAACA
rnacentral:rRNA from 1 species